UCCUGAGGGAUGUGUCGCCUGCUUCCCAGGGAAGACAUAAAGCACCUUUUCAGAACGCAGCAGGUUUUAAUUUCUAGAACUGCAGAAUCACCCUGAAAAUGAGAAACAGGGUGUUGGGUGUCUGAUAAGUGAAGAUAGGGGUUUAGCGGAUGAGAGGUUCCGAAGGAAAGGCAGUUACACUACUUUGUCUAAAGAAGAGCCCAGGAGUCAGCCCGUAAGCAGGGUAAGCGUGGUUGGGAGACCCCCCACCGGGACGCACGCGGACGCCCUCGUCGUGACCCUCCAUCAGUCCGCGCCAAGUCCAGCCCUCGCAGAUGUGCAGCCAAAGUCAUCUGCCCAGCGGGGCGGCUGGCGGGCACCUGGAGCCGGGGCCCUGCCACUUCCUCAGGCUCAGGCAGGCGGGCGUGGCCUGGGGCAGCCUCGUCAUGCCCUCUGGCUUCCCACCAAGGCCAUCCAGGCCACCUGCCUCUGCAUCCAGCCCCGUGAUGCCACCGCCCUCUUCCUAUGCCAGGCACCUUCCUGUUGGGGGCAGGGACUGUGCCAGGCAGUCUUGUCAACAGGAACGGGCCGUGCUCCCGGGCACAUGGGCUCCACCCCUAGGCCCCCCUGCACAUGCCCAGGGGGCCCGGCAGACGCAGAGGGUGUGCCACCCCCAUCAGUCCGCCACACUCAUACCGGGGAGAGGUGGCUGGGUCACAGGCAGCUGCCCUCUGGCUCUGGGGACAGGGUGGAGAAGGGCCUGCCCUGGUUCACCUUCACCCAGACGCCGACCUGCGGAGCGUCCAGGGCUGUGAGGCCAGCAGGGGAGGACAGAGGUUCCCAGCCAGACUCCCGAAAGCAAGCUGACAAAGUCAGUAGUCAGAAGGUCUCAGAAGGCCCGUCCUUGGUGCAAGGGGAACACCUGCAGGAGGAAAGGGCGAGGGCUCUGGAGGCCAGAGGGGAGGGGUCCCGAGGGCAGAGCACAGGCCCCACAGGCCUGGCUUCGGACUGUCCCCAGACUGUCCUCGUUCCUCCGGGAAAGGCCUGGACGAUCCCCAUCCUCUGCCGUGGAGUAACCAGGCCAUUCCGCAACCAGCCACCGGUGACAGAGAGCCGGUGGCAGGGGCACUUCCGCCUCCCCAUGACCCUGGCUGAGAUGAGCAUGGUGUGGUCUGGGAGGGGGGCGAGUCAGACAGAGGAGACAAUCUCAGCUCCCAGGAAGAGGCGAUCUGGGGGCGGGGGGUGGGGCAGGCAGAGGCAGGGGAGGUUACCGACCACGGGUCCAGGAGCUCAGACCUUUGCCCCGCUAGUGGUCAGAGUUUCCGUCCUUUUUCCUAACUCUCUAGAGCAAGGAGUUUGGGGGACAGGCUUGACCAACUGCAGCCUAAGGCAGCACAUGGCAAGGUAUACAGCCGGUGUCAGUUAAUGGUGAAGGGCGCUCACACUGAAAUCAGACGGGAUCCCAGCCCAACCGAUUAUUGGUCACUUGAGCUCUCUAAGCCUCCGUGUCCCCACCUGUAAAACGGUGAUAGGAUCAGUGACCAUCUCGCAGGGCUGCUCAGAGGAUUACACGAGAAACUCGACAUCAUGCACUGAGGACAAAGCUUGGCAGCUGCUGGGCCUCAAUGAACCCCAACCAGGACUGUUGUCCCGACUAUAGACGUGCUAGCUGAAGAACCAGUGGGCUGCUCACACCCUCGUCCUGGGGGGGGUCUGCCGCACUGGGCGGGCCUGCAGGCAGUGCCUCAGGACCAACUGCUUCCAGGGACGCUGAAGAAAUGCUUUCCCCCAAAGCGAUCUUCUUUCUCCUCCUUCCACUGGCUUCAGUGUCUGAGGUUGUACCAUAGAGACUUGUUUCUUUGGGUGGCACCAGCAACAUCUCAGAUCACGGGCCUGCACAGAGCUGCUGAGAGAGCAGGCAGUAUCAGGGCUAAAGAUAUCAAUAUAUAUCAGAGCAUUGGUAACAUAGAAGUGAAAGAAAUUCUUAGAUGGAUGAGAAAUGACACAGAAAAGGAGGGAAAGGAGCACCACGCUGAACCUAGAACUCCAAGGCACAAGACUUGGGUCUUAAGAUCCCGAGCCUCCGUCAGAGAGUCUUGGAAGAACUGGUUGAUUGACUAGAAGGAACACGCCAGGCAAGAGGCUGUCUUGGAAGCCAAGGAAGUGAGAAGUCUGAAAAAUGAGAGUGUGGUCACCACCUCACAUCAACAAAGUGACCCAGGAAGAUGAGGACUGAAACGUAUACAGGGCCUUUGCACAGGCUGUGAGUUUGUCUGGUAUGCUCCCCCCAACACACACGCACUGUUCUCCGAGUUAAUUCCCACUCUUCCUUUGGACCCUGACCUAAAUGUCACUUUCCUAAGGAUGCCUUUCCUGGCCCUCUGCCUGGUCAGUUGUCUCCCUGUUUUCCCUCAUAGGAACAUGUGAUUCUGUGAAGGCAAUUACCACUAGCUACGGGGUCAAACCAAGGUCUCCGUGAGCAGGCACAAGAGAGGCUUAUUUCCCCUAAAUGUAAUGCGCAGUGUGGGUUGGGUAGACCCCUUUCUCCUGUAGCCCCACCAUCUACAUGGCACUCACCGUCAUCAAAA